rnacentral:rRNA from 1 species
GAUGAACGCUGGCGGCGUGCCUAAUACAUGCAAGUCGAGCGAACAGACGAGGAGCUUGCUCCUCUGACGUUAGCGGCGGACGGGUGAGUAACACGUGGAUAACCUACCUAUAAGACUGGGAUAACUUCGGGAAACCGGAGCUAAUACCGGAUAAUAUAUUGAACCGCAUGGUUCAAUAGUGAAAGACGGUUUUGCUGUCACUUAUAGAUGGAUCCGCGCCGCAUUAGCUAGUUGGUAAGGUAACGGCUUACCAAGGCAACGAUGCGUAGCCGACCUGAGAGGGUGAUCGGCCACACUGGAACUGAGACACGGUCCAGACUCCUACGGGAGGCAGCAGUAGGGAAUCUUCCGCAAUGGGCGAAAGCUUGACGGAGCAACGCCGCGUGAGUGAUGAAGGUCUUCGGAUCGUAAAACUCUGUUAUUAGGGAAGAACAAAUGUGUAAGUAACGAUGCACGUCUUGACGGUACCUAAUCAGAAAGCCACGGCUAACUACGUG